rnacentral:lncRNA from 1 species
UCCCUCGGUCGAACCCUAGCCGCCACUUCUUCCUCCCUCGCGCCGUUGCUCGCUCCCCCGCACACACCCGAAGCUAUCGUCGCCGCGCCAUCGUCACCGUCGCGGCCACUGUCGUCGCCUUCGCGUGGUAGGACAUCCAGGAGAUCCGCGGAGGCCGGCUUCGUCCGUCCCGGGCAUCAGCUCAAGCCGGCGCGGCUCGUACGCUCGGCAUCGCCGUCUUCUUCAUCACGUACAUUGCCGGCGGCCAUCGUCGAUUCCCACCGUUCCGGUCCACAUCCGGCCUCCCCGAGCUCGUCAUCCGCACCACGGUGAGCUCCUCCUCCAUCCCCCCUCCUUGUACACUCGAUCCGCGCCGUAGUCGUCGUCCACGAGUUCGCCUUGGUCGUGUACGCGCGCGCGCACCCGUAUGCUGCUGCCGUCCAUGGCCCCACGCCCUCCUGCUGCCGCCGGCGCCCUCCAGUGCGUGCCUCCCGCCAGCCGGGCCCUGCCUCGCCUCGCUUACGCCCCCCCGGCAGCGCCCCGCGGCCACGCCACCGAGCCCGCGCCCCGUUGCUGCUUCUGCCGGGGCGUACGCGUAUGUAUGUGCGUGUUCUGAGCUUCUGCUCUGCGUGACACUGCUGCUGCCUUGGCGCUGCUACUCUGCUUACUGCCCGAUGCAUGCUGCUGUUUGGUCGUCGCCGCCGCUCGCCCCUACUCCACGCUGCUUCGGCCUGCUGUCGCUGCCACCAUCUGUUGCCGCUGCUCCUGCUGCUUUACUGCUGCCUGCUGCUGCGCUCGUCGCAGCUGCUGCUGGCCGGCCGUGCCAUGGCUUGGCCAUGGUUACGUGCGUGAGCGUGUGCACGCAAGUGCCCAGCUCGGCCACUGCUAGAUGGGCUGGCCGGUUAGUUUAGAUUAAUUAGGAUUAGAUUAGAUUGGAUAGGUUAGUUACUAACCUUUGGCAAGUGGGACCUCCUCCUUUAAUUAACCAGUUUAUUUAGCCCUAGUUUAUCCUGAGACAAUGACACGCGGGACCCAUGCACUAUUCACUGCUUGACCCAGUCAAUAGAUUGCUCUGUUGUUGACUUUGACUUGGCCCCACAUGUCUUUGACUGUGGCUGGCACUACACAAGGUAAAAAGGGUAUUUUACUGUUUUAUUUUCGAAUUUAAUUUAAUAUCCGGAAUUUUUAGAAUAAUGUUUAAAUCGUUGGAAAUUAGUAGUAAAUAAUUCAUAAUUCGGAUGAAAAAGUUUUAUAUAUGAAAGUUGCUCAGCACGACGAGAUGAAUCCGAACACGCGGUCCGUUUACCUGUCAGAUGCCUCUAACUAUCUGAACAUGGAACUUUCUCUCUCCGGUCAUCUGUCUGACACAGGUCCGGAACCGGGAAAACAUUCCCGGUUGGCUUCCCCCUUCACCGGUAUCGUGUAGCACCGCGUUAGAACACGUCUAGCUCUGCCUGUUGUCCUGUUAUGCACUUGCUUGCUAUGUAUUUACUGUUUCUCCCCCCUCUUCUUUUCGGUAGACCUCGUGACGAUGCCGAUGACCCUGUGAUCGACUACGUCAACGACGACACUUCUUCCUUUUCAGCAGAGCUUCCAGGCAAGCCCCCCCUUUGAUCAUCCCGAUAUCGCUCAUUCCAUUCUCUCAUGCUUGCAUUAGAUUUUGCUACUGUUAUUUUUUGCUCCUAUUCUGAUGCAUAGCCUGCUUUUAUAACCUGCUUAUUGUUACCUACCUGCUUAUCCUAAACUGCUUAGUAUAGGUUGGUUAGUGAUCCAUCAGUGACCCCCACCUUGUCCUUGUUGCCCCCGCUUCAUCAUUGAAGACCCGAUCAACGGGAUCGAAGACCAGGCACCGCACAUCACUUUUCCCUUAGUUGCUCGACACUGCUGGGUUACUAUCGAGUGCCGAGGGUGAGACCUCUACAACACUUCUGAUGUUAACCCUGUAGUGUAGCUAUUCGGUCGUGGUCAUCGAGGGUGAUUCCGCCUUAACCACUUCCGAUACGACUCUGUCGUGCAACCCCUCAAGUGUGAACCUCGAGGGUGGUUCCUCUUACGUUCACCUUGAUGAUUACAUCGGGUGGAAUUCACCGGGGGUGAUUCCUCGGGUUUUCCCCUUGAUGUUUGGACACACAGUUACUAUGGUUACUAUGACUUUACACUGAACCAUGUUACUAAAGACGGGUUGGCCCUGAGGGGUACCCGCGCGAGCUUAAUUGCGAGUGAUGUGGAGACGGGUUGACCUGGAGGGUGCCCGCGAGAUAAUUACGAGGCAUGGCCGGGCAUUCCUAGCCCUUGCCGCAAGUCCUCGAGAUGGGGCAACGAGGUCACAUCUUUCGUGAGUCUUUACUUGUUACCGCGUGCUCCUAAUCCACUACGAUUUGGAUAUUUGAUCCGAGGGGCCUCUGGCCUGAUAGCACUAACCAUCACGUGGGCAUAGUAUGGGCGUUCUGCGUUGUAUACAUCAGCCAAAGCUUAAUAGACGUCAGCGACUGAGCGGUGCGCGCCGGGUUGGACUGGUAAGCUCCUGCCUUUUUAGGGAGGUAGCUAGGUCUACUCACCGGCCGCGUACGCAACGUGCAGGAGUUCCUGGGGUGAUGGCCCAUGACCCCUUGGGGCAUAGGUUUAGUCUGGCGUGCUGACCUCUCUAUUAAGCCUAGGUCGGGUUGCUGCGUAUUGUUUGGCCGAGGCCGGGCAUGACCCAGAAAAGUGUGUCCGUCCGGAGUUAAUCGAGCGUGGUGGGUAAGUUGGUGCACCCCUACAGGGAAGAAAACAUCUAUCGAUAGCCUGUCCUACGGUAACAGACACUUGGAGUUGUAUCCCGAUCGAUACAACUAUAACUGGAUACUUGAGAUGAGACGUGGAUAUGAGAAUUGGAUUAUGAUUGGAACUAGAUAGUAUGGCUCUGGGAUUGCUUUCUCGUAGGGAGUCGAGGAAGGAUCUCUGGGCGAGGUUGAUAACACUGCUACUACUUAUGUUAUACUACUCUACUCCCUCAUGUUGCUGCAAGAUGGUGGUUUCCAGAAGAUGCUAGUCUUCGAUAGGACUAGCUUCUCCCCCUCUUAUUCCGGCAUUUCUGCAGCCAAGUCCACAUAUACAGCCUUCUUUUGAUAAUGUUGCAUAUGUAGUGUAGAUCCUUGCUUGCUGAGUACUUCGGAUGAGUACUCACGGUUGCUUUGCUUCCUCUUUCUCCCCUUUUUCCAUUCUUCUCGGAUGUCGCAACCAGAUGGUGGAGCCCAGGAUCCAGACGACACCACCGACGACUACUACUACCCCCGAGGGUGCCUACUACUACGUGGAGACCGUCGACGACCAGGAGUAGUUAGGAGGCUCCCAGGCAGGAGGCCUUGCCUUUUCGAUCGAUGUUGCUUUUGUGCUAGCCUUCUUAAGGCAGACUUGUCUAACUUAUGUCUGUACUCAGAUAUUGUUGCUUCCGCUGACUCUUGUGUUUUCGAGCUUAUGUAUUCGAGCCCCCGAGGCCUCUGGCUUGUAACAUAAAGCUUGUAUUAUUUUAAUUUGUGUCUAGAGUUGUGUUGUGAUAUCUUCCCGUGAGUCCUUGAUCUUGAUCGUACACAUUUG